UGAGACAAUGUACAACUCUUAUCGAUAAGCCAUUGGAGGGCAAGUCUGGUGCCAGCAGCCGCGGUAAUUCCAGCUCCAAUAGCGUAUAUUAACGUUGUUGCAGUUAAAAAGCUCGUAGUUGAAGUGUGGGUGGUGCUGUCUGAAUGACUUCGGUUAGUCAGAUGAUCACUACCCCCUUCCAGUAUCCAGUAGUGGGUAUUCACUUACUUACUACUGUGUGUUGGUCCUUUACUGUGAGAAAAUUAGAGUGUUCAAAGCAGGCGUUUGCUUGAAUAGAUUAGCAUGGAAUAAUAAUUGAAGGCUUUCGUGUUCGAUUUGAUUGGUUUGUUCAUGGAAGCAAGGUUAAAAGGAACAGUUGGGGGUAUUCAUAUUCACUAGUUAGAGGUGAAAUUCUCGGAUUUAUGGAAGAUGAACAAGUGCGAAAGCAAU
rnacentral:rRNA from 1 species